AGAAAACUGAGAAAAGUAGGAACAUUUAAAAGAUAACAUUGUGAGAAAAGCCAUGGAUAUACAAUGUCUGAAAAUACAUCCACUGAAAAUACAUCCACUGAUAAACAAGGCUACAUAUAAUCAGUUUACUUCAAGUGCUGGAGUCAGACAAGGGAAGGAGGACAGUCCUUUCACCAAUGAAAUGUGAUCACUGACCAGCCUGUCCUCUUCUGCUUCAAGGCUGUGAGUAGAGAACAGUGCUUCCCUCACAUUUUUAACCAGAUUUGAAUGUAAGAACAGAUAAACUUGGUGAAAAUUUAGAGGGAAAUGUGACUUGAUUUCAGUCAUUUGUAAGCUGGAAGAACAGCUCCUCUCUCCUCCAUCCCUGUGGGGAUGAUUUUCUCUGAGUUCUGGCAAGUGGCAGCAACAAACAAGCACGGAGAGGAAAGGAGGGGAGAGGAGCUCUAUUAGGCAAGAGGUGCCUAGAAGCCAGGCUAGGGAAUGGACUUGCUGAGUGGCAAAACAGUAUGAACAACUGCUGGGACCACUGAGAAGUGAGAGCAGCAAGGAAGGCUCAUUCAUAAGAAGUGUAUUUCAUCACCCUGUAAUGCAUCAGAGGAACCUAAGCUCUCCUGAGGCCAUCAACCUACCUGUCCCUGGCCUUUGGACAACAGCUGCUCCCAGAACAACAACUGGCUAUCAGAGUGCAGGAGGUGUUUGGUAGCCAUCCCCCUGUAUUUAUGGCUACUGCAAUUUCUGUCCUUGCAGAAAUCUCAGACUGAUCCAGCAGUGUGAUUUUACACACAUGUGGUUGCCACUUCCCAUCUCUGAACCAGCCAGCAAAUUAUUAUACGUAUAAAAACCUCAGUGGCAGCAUCAGCCCCAAGAGACUAUUUACUUCCACAGGCAUGAACUAAUUCCUGAAAAGAAGCUCAAGCCAAAUCCUGCAGAGACCAGUGGGAAUCUCUCCAGGCUCUUGCAAAGGCUGCUUUGCACACUAGAGAAAUGGUUGGUGCUUGGUCAUAUUUAUCACCAUGUCAGCCUGCAAGAAAAGGAUGAGGAACAGCACUGAAUUAUGGCAAUGAAAGAUUCAAGCUGAAAGUCUCCAAAGUUGCCCAAGUCACACCCAUAGUGAGAAGAAUGCUUAACUGUUUCCUCAGGAUGAUUCUCUCAGCAGCGAUGAAGCCAGAUAGUGGUAAAUGAAAUUAAAUAUUCUCUUAAAAAAUCUAGACUAUAAAUGAGAACCCUGACCACAGGGCCCACUUAUUUGUAACCUUGCAGUAGCACUGUAAUAAAUUCCCUGUCCUGCAGCCAUGGGCAGCUUGGUAUGGUGGCAGCUUUUCCUAGCUUCUUCAGAAUUGCAAGUGACUGGAACUCUGGCAGGUGAUUUCAGAGUGGCAGCUCCAGAGCUGAGGGGUAAUGUGGCUCUGUAGCCCUUAGUCAUCCACAGAGGAUGGCCACUGGGAAGAAGGAAGCUCUGUUGGAGGUCCAGUGGUGAAACUUUCCUUCCAUCUUCCCUGCAGAUGUCUAGCAUCUGAGUUUUUCUCUAUUCUGUUAAAGUCACCUCCU